GAAGGUAGAGCUCAAGUGGUAGAGAGCAUGCUUAGCAUGCAUGAGGUCCUGGGUUCAAUCCCCAGUACUUCCU
rnacentral:tRNA from 1 species